ACUGUAAUAAACCGAACGGAACGAACCCUUAACCUCGACUAAAUAGGUCCCGGGCCGGUCGUUUGUCGUGGUCGCAGACUUCUUAGGAGGGACGUGUCAACGUCUAGCUGACGGAAGUUUGAGGCAAUAACAGGUCUGUGAUGCCCUUAGANGUUCUGGGCCGCACGCGCGCUACACUGACAGAGCCAGCGAGUUUUCACCUUGGCCGGAGGGUCUGGGUAAUCUUGUGAAACUUUGUCGUGCUGGGGAUAGAGCAUUGCAAUC
rnacentral:rRNA from 1 species